rnacentral:rRNA from 1 species
UGGUGGAGUGAUUUGUCUGGUUAAUUGCGAUAACGAACGAGACCUUAACCUGCUAAAUAGCCAGGCGAGCUUUGGCUCGUCGCCGGCUUCUUAGAGGGACUAUCGGCUCAAGCCGAUGGAAGUUUGAGGCAAUAACA